rnacentral:rRNA from 1 species
ACGGGGCGCAGCAGGCGCGGUAAGACGAAGGGUCCAAGCGUUGCGCGGAAUCACUGGGCUUAAAGCGUGCGCAGGCGGGUAUGUAAGUGCCUUGUGAAAUCCCACCGCUCAACGGUGGAAUUGCAGGGCAUACUGCAUACCUUGAGGUCGGUAGAGGUGCCCGGAACUGUAGGUGUAGCGGUGAAAUGCGUAGAUAUCUACAGGAACGCCGAAGGUGAAGACAGGGCACUGGGCCGAUUCUGACGCUCAGGCACGAAAGCGUGGGGAGCAAACAGGAUUAGAUACCCUGGUAGUCCACGCCGUAAACAAUGUGUACUAGAUCCGGGAGGUUCUGACACCAUCCGGAUCGAAGCUAAAGUGUUAAGUACACCGCCUGGGGAGUACGGUCGCAAGGCUAAAACUCAAAGGAAUUGACGGGGGCUCACACAAGCGGUGGAGCAUGUUGCUUAAUUCGAUGCAACGCGAAGAACCUUAUCCUGGGUUUGACAUGCAUGGAUGCCCUUCCCGAAAGGGAAGUAAGCUGCUCAUUCGAGUGAAACAUGCACAGGUGCUGCAUGGCUGUCGUCAGCUCGUGCUGUGAAGUGUUGGGUUAAGUCCCUUAACGAGCGAAACCCCUGUCGCUAGUUGCCAGCGGGCCUACGGGUGCCGGGGACUCUAGCGAGACUGCCGGUGUCAAACCGGAGGAAGGCGGGGACGACGUCAAGUCAUCAUGGCCCUUAUGCCCAGGGCUGCUAACGUGCUACAAUGGUCGGUACAGAGCGAAGCAAUGCCGUAAGGCGGAGCAAAUCGCAAAAAGCCGGCCCCAGUUCGGAUCGUGGUCUGCAACUCGACCACGUGAAGUCGGAAUCGCUAGUAAUCGCGCAUCAGCCAUGGCGCGGUGAAUACGUUCCUGAGCCUUGUACACACCGCCCGUCAAGUCAUGGAAGCCGGGAGUGCCCGAAGUCGCACCGAUUCAGGUGCGCCGACGGCAAGCUCGGUGACUGGGACUAAGUCGUAACAGGUAGCCGAAGGGCG